ensembl:lncRNA
AAUAGGGUACCAUUUGAGACGCAUUGACAUAAUAUAGGUUGAGGAAAACAUAUGUCACCUAAAUGAAUAGGCCUGGACUGUAGAGCGUGGACUGAAAACCGAGGCUUCAUCCAAAAUGGCACCAAAAUGGGUGCCAUUUUGGACUCACCCUGAGCGUACUGCGGUAGUAAGAGGAUGCUACAACAGAAGCAGUGGAAGCUUACAUGGCAUAUGUAUACUGCGAGGCCUCUAUCCACGGAGCACAGAACAACAACAUUGACAAGUCACUUAUAAAGGGCCAGACAGGACAGGUGCCUUGGCUUUAGGCAAAUCCAACCCUGUUUCAGUCCCAUUUUCACAAUGAUAUCUUAAACCAUGGAUUCCAUAGUUUCCGGCUGAUGAUGUAUACAGGAAGUGUAGGUCCUCCACGUCCUGUAAGCUUUGAGCAAAGGAUCAUGGGUCGCAGUGGAUGACUAACAGGUUUAAAGCAGAAACAAAGAACAAAACAAUGACAAAAAAAAACAACAACAAAAAAAGUAAAAAUGUAUCAGGAAGCAAUCUGUUGUGGGCUGUUCAUUAAGCUGCGUUAUUUGUUUGUCAAUAAACAGCCCAUCCCACAGAAAGAACAUCAACCAACAGCUGCCUUUCGUUUUUAUGUACACAUUUUCUGUUUGUUGUUUUCUUAUAAAAUCCACUGCUGCCCUAAACGUCUCCUCCCUCCUUACAGACAUGGGUCCUGCAAUGCAGUCAACUAACCCUUUCAGUGAUCGGCGUCCGAGACUCGACCGUCUCCUCCUGGCUAGGUCUGGGUACGACUGAGACCAUCUCCUCCCUGCUAGGUCUGGGUACGACUGAGACCGUCUCUUCCCUGCUAGGUCUGGGUACGACUGAGACCAUCUCCUCCCUGCUAGGUCUGGGUACGACUGAGACCGUCUCCUCCCUGCUAGGUCUGGGUACGACUGAGACCGUCUCCUCCCUGCUAGGUCUGGGUACGACUGAGACCGUCUCCUCCCUGCUAGGUCUGGGUACGACUGAGACCAUCUCCUCCCUGCUAGGUCUGGGGACGACUAAGCAGGAUACAAUGUCUCUCAAAUCCCUCCCUUCCACCGUCCCUGCUGCCACGUCCACUUGAUGCUUGUUGGCACUGGUGUCACCCAUUCCCACCACUGCAGCUGCUGGAGGCUUUGGACACCUGUCCUGUCUGACCUCCCUGAC